UCCCUAAAAAUAUUUUAGCGUCUCUGUUUGGCUUUGAAUCAAAAGCAUACCUGAAGGCAAAAGAGCAUUUAGAAGACAGUCCUGAGGUUUCAUUUUAAGGUUCGAGCAUGAAUUUACUUAGGCACUCUGUGUUAUCAGCAGGACUUCACAGGAUAACUGCUGUCAUUUUUGCAUUAAGCCUUAUUUUUACGUUAAGUGCCUUUGCAUCUGACUUUUAUACAGUAGACACAGUUCCAAAUCCAAGAAUUGAGAAUACCUCAUUUCAUGUAAGUGAUCCCGCCUCUCUACUUACUCAUGAUAAGGUUUCAUAUCUUAACGAAAAACUUACUCAGCUCGAAAAGGACACAGGUAUACAGUCAGCUGUGGUAGUACUUCCAUCAGUUGGCGACAGUGAUGUCUUUGAAUUCUCUCAGGAGCUGUUCAGAAAAUGGGGAAUAGGACAGAGGGAUAAAAAUGACGGUCUUCUGCUUACCUAUGUUGAAGAUCAGCACAUUAUCCGUUUCCAUACAGGUUACGGUCUUGAAGGUGUGCUUCCGGAUGCUGUCUGCAAGCGUAUACAGCAGCAGAAGAUGAUCCCUUUUUUUAAAGAGGGAAAAAUAAACGAAGGCAUGAGGGCAGGUAUUGAUGCCCUGUACGAGCGACUUGCCGCAGAAGGCAAAUCAGAGUCAGAUGAUGAGAGUUCGGGUGUUGACAGUGACGAUGAUGACUUUUUAAUUACACUUGUCACAAUCAUCUCAACUGUAGUUCUGAUCUUUGUUGUUGCAGCAGGCGUGAUGCUUUGGAACCUGUUUGAAAAAUGCCCUAACUGUGGCAGACGCAAAACCUUAAAAAAGAUAAGUGAGAAAGAAAGAAAAAAGCACCAUCAUACUUAUCUUGAGGAAGUAAAACGCUGUUCUUACUGCGGAUAUGAAGUUAAACGUUCAUACAAAAUAGAUGACGAUGAUGACGAUAAUGACAGUUUCCUAAGUGGUGGCACUGGCGGUUUCUCCUCUUCUUCAGGCGGCAGUUUUGGGUUUCGGUAAUUUAUGUACAGGAUAUGUGGGAGACUGGGAAGUUAUGGCGCCAGCCAUAAUGGAGUCGAUGUUGGGAUACCACACUUAGAUUGCUGGAAUUCUAACCUGUGGCCAUGAAACUGGUCAGGGGACAUUGUCAGGUGGGCAGUUUGACUGGGGCGGUCGCCUCCGAAAGAGUAACGGAGGCGCUCAAAGGUUGGCUCAGCACGGACGGAAACCGUGCAUUAGAGUGUAAACGCGUAAGCCAGCCUAACUGCGAGGGUGACGGCCCGAGCAGUAACGAAAGUUGGAGUUAGUGAUCCGGCGGUAUGUGAAUGGAAAUGCCGUCGCUCAACGGAUAAAAGCUACCCUGGGGAUAACAGGCUGAUCUCCCCCAAGAGUCCACAUCGACGGGGAGGUUUGGCACCUCGAUGUCGGCUCAUCGCAUCCUGGGGCUGUAUUCGGUCCCAAGGGUUUGGCUGUUCGCCAAUUAAAGCGGCACGCGAGCUGGGUUCAGAACGUCGUGAGACAGUUCGGUCCCUAUCCAUCGUGGGCGCAGGAGAUUUGAGAGGAGCUGUCCCUAGUACGAGAGGACCAGGAUGGACGCACCAAGGGUGAAUCAGUUGUUCUGCCAAGAGCAUAGCUGGGUAGCCAAGUGCGGAUCGGAUAAACGCUGAAGGCAUCUAAGCGUGAAGCCGACCUCAAGAUAAGAUCUCCCACCAGAAAUGGGUAAGACCCCUGGAAGACUACCAGGUUGAUAGGUCGGAGGUGGAAGUGCAGCAAUGCAUGCAGCUGACCGAUACUAAUAGGUCGAGGGCUUGAUCA
rnacentral:rRNA from 1 species